rnacentral:rRNA from 1 species
UACGUAGGGGGCAAGCGUUGUCCGGAUUUAUUGGGCGUAAAGGGCGCGUAGGCGGCCUUCUAAGUCGAACGUGAAAUCCCUGGGCUCAACCCAGGAACUGCGUCCGAUACUGGAAGGCUUGAAUCCGGGAGAGGGAUGCGGAAUUCCAGGUGUAGCGGUGAAAUGCGUAGAUAUCUGGAGGAACACCGGUGGCGAAGGCGGCAUCCUGGACCGGUAUUGACGCUGAGGCGCGAAAGCCAGGGGAGCAAACGGG